ACCUUUGGAUAUGUAAUUAAGCUAAUCUUUUCCAUUGCUAAUGGAGCAGAAGUAGAACUAUUACCAAUGGAUAAAUUCCGCUCAUUCUUCCUUUUCUAUGUCGUGCUUGCUAAUGAAGUAGAAGUAGAACUAUUCGUGACUGCUAGGCCGGCCGAAAUCUCCAUAGUAAACCAAUUGGGAUAGACGACAAUUUUCACGUAAAAACUCUAUAAUUUCUACUAUAUAUAAGUGAGGCUUUUUGUGUACUAUGAAGGGUACAAAUGUAAAUUCACACCAUUUACGUCUUUGCUGUCCAUUUGUGACUUUCUCAGACUCCAGGUGGACCAUUUAAAGGGUCUAUGGGCACCACAUGGGUUACUCCAUUUGUGAAAGUAAAAAUCCACAAAUGAAGCAAUUGAAAUCCAAGAAAACUUACCAGAAAAAUGUGCCCAGAUGUUCAGUUUACCAUCUCUUCUCUUGGAUUUCAAUCUAAGGAAUUGCCGUUAUCGCUAGAGUCUUGGACCACCAGGGUGAGCACACCUUGUGUUUUGAUCAGGGACUUCAAAUAUCGUGCACUCUCUCCAAAUCUAGGGUAUAUGUUAUGAUCAAUUGCAUUAAAGCUUUCACGAUGCGCAGCACCCGGGGAAGGGCCGACCGCAGGGUCAUAUAUAGAUAUUUCAUGUUUUUAAUUAACUUGAUAUAUUAGUUCUUUAAGUUUAAGAUUCCCCUCAAAGUUUCAUUCCUUACUUUUUAUGGGUAAUAAGUACUUUUGAAAGGGUAAGUGUGGAGAGAAACAAUAUAAAAAAUCAAACCCACACCUACUAUGUAGGUAACUCCCACUGUUACAUUAAAGCUGUAAGGCUCUGUGAUUGUAUCUUAUUAAGUUACAGAAUAUGAUAGUUUUAUACUAAGAAGCAAACCUUGACUAAGUAUCUCCUUGUCUCAAUGUUAGGAUAUGUCACACAUUGUUGAAACAACGGAAUAUAUUUCAUGAAGCUCAAGUGUCAAAAGUUUUUGUUGUUUGCAUGAAUUUGGAGUCGAAAAUGUACGAUUUUUUGGCUUUUUGCUGUCUAACAGAGCGAGACUCUGUCAUUUCUUUCAGCUCAAAUGGGAGACGGGCAUUGAGCAACCA